UACGGAGGGUGCGAGCGUUGUCCGGAAUCACUGGGCGUAAAGGGCGCGUAGGCGGCGCGAGGAGUCAACGGUGAAAGCCCGGGGCUCAACCCCGGGUCGGCCGUCGAUACUCUCGUGCUUGAGCACUGUAGAGGCAGGUGGAAUUCCGGGUGUAGCGGUGGAAUGCGUAGAGAUCCGGAAGAACACCGGUGGCGAAGGCGGCCUGCUGGGCAGUAGCUGACGCUGAGGCGCGACAGCGUGGGGAGCAAACAGG
rnacentral:rRNA from 1 species